ACCGAAAGGCCUCGCGCGAUUGGAGCGGCCGAUGUCGGAUUAGCUAGUUGGUAGGGUAAAGGCCUACCAAGGCGACGAUCCGUAGCGGGUCUGAGAGGAUGAUCCGCCACACUGGGACUGAGACACGGCCCAGACUCCUACGGGAGGCAGCAGUGGGGAAUUUUGGACAAUGGGCGCAAGCCUGAUCCAGCCAUGCCGCGUGAGUGAAGAAGGCCUUCGGGUUGUAAAGCUCUUUCAGGUGGAAAGAAAACGCAUGGGUCAAUACCCUGUGUGGAUGACGGUACCAUCAGAAGAAGCACCGGCUAACUACGUGCCAGCAGCCGCGGUAAUACGUAGGGUGCGAGCGUUAAUCGGAAUUACUGGGCGUAAAGCGUGCGCAGGCGGUGAUGUAAGACAGAUGUGAAAUCCCCGGGCUCAACCUGGGAACUGCGUUUGUGACUGCAUCACUCGAGUACGGCAGAGGGAGGUGGAAUUCCGCGUGUAGCAGUGAAAUGCGUAGAUAUGCGGAGGAACACCGAUGGCGAAGGCAGCCUCCUGGGC
rnacentral:rRNA from 1 species